CUGGCGGCGUGCUUAACACAUGCAAGUCGAACGCUGAAGCACCAGCUUGCUGGUGUGGAUGAGUGGCGAACGGGUGAGUAAUACGUGAGUAACCUGCCCUUGACUCUGGGAUAAGCCCGGGAAACUGGGUCUAAUACUGGAUGCUACAUGUCACCGCAUGGUGGUGUGUGGAAAGGGUUUACUGGUCUUGGAUGGGCUCACGGCCUAUCAGCUUGUUGGUGAGGUAAUGGCUCACCAAGGCGACGACGGGUAGCCGGCCUGAGAGGGUGACCGGCCACACUGGGACUGAGACACGGCCCASACUCCUACGGGAGGCAGCAGUGGGGAAUAUUGCACAAUGGGCGAAAGCCUGAUGCAGCGACGCCGCGUGAGGGAUGACGGCCUUCGGGUUGUAAACCUCUUUCAGCAGGGAAGAAGCCACAAGUGACGGUACCUGCAGAAGAAGCGCCGGCUAACUACGUGCCAGCAGCCGCGGUAAUACGUAGGGCGCAAGCGKUGUCCGGAAUUAUUGGGCGUAAAGAGCUCGUAGGCGGUUUGKCGCGUCUGCUGUGAAAGCCCGGGGCUUAACCCCGGGUGUGCAGUGSGUACGGGCAGACUMGAGUGCAGUAGGGSAGACUGGAAUUCCUGGUGUAGCGGWGGAAUGCRCAGAUAUCARGASGAACACCGAUGGCGAAGGCAGGUCUCUGGGCUGUUACUGACGCUGAGGAGCGAMMGCAUGGKGAGCGAACAGGAUUAGAUACCCUGGYAGUCCAUGUCGUAAACGUUGGGCACUASGUGUGGGGGACAUUCAYGYUYUCCGCSMCGUAGCUACGCAUUASUGCCCUGCUGSUGAGUASGCCGCAGCUGACACUCRAGGAAUUGACGGGGUUGCACAGCGRCGGAGCAUGCCGCAUAAUUCGA
rnacentral:rRNA from 1 species